rnacentral:rRNA from 1 species
UGACACUGAACAUUGAGCCUUGAUGUGUAGGAUAGGUGGGAGGCUUUGAAGUGUGGACGCCAGUCUGCAUGGAGCCGGCCUUGAAAUACCACCCUUUAAUGUUUGAUGUUCUAACGUUGGCCCCUGACCGGGGUUGCGGACAGUGUCUGGUGGGUAGUUUGACUGGGGCGGUCUCCUCCUAAAGAGUAACGGAGGAGCACGAAGGUUGGCUAAUCCUGGUCGGACAUCAGGAGGUUAGUGCAAUGGCAUAAGCCA